rnacentral:rRNA from 1 species
UCUCCGGAUUGGCUUUGGGGAGCCGGCAACGGCACCCUAUUGCUGAGAAGCUGAUCAAACUUGGUCAUUUAGAGGAAGUAAAAGUCGUAACAAGGUUUCCGUAGGUGAACCUGCGGAAGGAUCAUUAUUGAAUUCGCCGCGAAGUUGUUGCUGGCCCAAUGUGGCAUGUGCACACUUCGUAAAGCAUUUCAACCACCUGUGAACUUUUUGUAGUCUUUGGGGGAUGCCACAGCUCAAAGGAAACUUUGGAUUUGAGUGCUGCGGGCUUGCAAAAGUCGGCUUCAUUCUGCAGCUGAACCCGGGUCUAUGCUUUAUAUACCCUAAUUGUAUGUCUAUGAAUGUGAUUCAAGGGCUUUAAUGCCUUUAAAUCUUAUACAACUUUCAGCAACGGGUCUCUUGGCUCUCGCAUCGAUGAAGAACGCAGCGAAAUGCGAUAAGUAAUGUGAAUUGCAGAAUUCAGUGAAUCAUCGAAUCUUUGAACGCACCUUGCGCCCCUUGGUAUUCCGAGGGGCAUGCCUGUUUGAGUGUCAUUAAAUUCUCAACCUUUAGAAGGCUUUUGAAGUCGUCUUAAGGCUUGGAUGUGGAGGUUGCGGGCCCUAUUGGUCGGCUCCUCUUAAAUGCAUUAGCUGGGUUUGCGCCUUCAGCCUAUUGGUGUGAUAAUUAUCUACGCCUCUGGGUCGUUAGCGUGUUAUACUUCUCUAGCUUCUAACCGUCCGCAAGGACAAUACUUGACCAUUUGACCUCAAAUCAGGUAGGACUACCCGCUGAACUUAAGCAUAUCAAUAAGCGGAGGAAAAGAAACUAACAAGGAUUCCCCUAGUAACUGCGAGUGAAGCGGGAAAAGCUCAAAUUUGUAAUCUGGCGGUCUUGGGCCGUCCGAAUUGUAAACUAGAGAAGUGUUAUCCGCGCUGGACCGUGUACAAGUCCCCUGGAAUGGGGC